CAGCCUGGUCGUAUGAGGGAGAGGAAGGGGGAGGGGGAGGGGGACAAAGCAUCAGGUAAGCCUCUGAGCCCCUCAGAAGGAACCCAGUCCUUGGGUCGGCUGGAGGGCACUCAGAGCCAGAGGCCAGCUUCAAUUCCAUAGCCAUCAGCAGGACCAGACAGACUUCCGCAAGCUGCCUGUCCCUGCCCACGGGGUUGAAGAGGGAAGGAAAGAGCAUCAGAGCAUCACCUACCAACCCCUCAGCAUCCACAGAUUGGCAGGAUUUCCUCUGCAGCAGGAGGGAGGAGGGCUGGACAAGAGGAAGGACUGUCCCUCUCCCUCCAGAGCGAGUCGGCGUAGGAGGAGAAGUCAGAGUUGGCGUCCUUCUCGGCCAGAUAGACCAGGAAGGAGGCAAAGAUGAGCACCAGGAAUCCGAUGUACCAGGCGGUGAUCAGCUCCUGCGGUGACAGCAAAGAUGAAAACGUCAGGAGGGCCGAGCCAGAGGGGUAUAAGGAAGCGCCUAAUACUGUGCGUACCUGGGAGAGGGGGGCAGGUGGGAGUUUCCCAGAAUGACCCCGAGAGGUGUUCUGGAGGGGGGAUAAAGGCGCCCCACCGCUUCGAGUUGCCUGGGGGCGGCUGCCCAUCUUUCCUUCCCAGCUCCUCCUUCCGGGGAGACCCUGCCCCGCCUUCCCGACCUCAGGGUACGCCCCCCGCCCCGCCCUUGACCCCCCACCCCCAGGUUCCAGGUUCAGACUUCAGUCCCCAGGCCCACCGCCCCUCAACACCCCACACACCCCAACAUCCAGUCCCCCCCACCCGCCCCAGCUCCCCACUUUGCUGUGCACACAGACUCACCUAACCAGAAGCUUCCGACUGAGCCCCUCAACGCCUUACCCCUCAAGCCCCUCCUCCUGGCCUGCACCUGCCCUCCCCCGGCAGACUGGCCCUUGCCGGGCCUCAGAGAUCGGCCCCUGUGGCCUGGCCCCCGCCGGGCCCACAGUCUCCCCAACCCUGGGGCUGGACUCGGGCCCCGCCCCACCCCCCACCUCCGGCCCCGGGAGACGUCCCGCCGGCGCACCUUGCUGUGCGCGUAGACCACGGAGCCCAGCAGCUUCCAGGUGCCGCCGCGGCGGUCCAUGCGCACCAUGCGGAGGAUCUGCAGGAAGCGCAUGCUGCGCAGCGCAGACGUGGCGAAGAUGUUGCCCUGCGUGCCCGCGGCGAUGACGGCCACCGAGGCCACGAACACGAUGAAGUCUGCAGGGGCAGGACAGGCGAGCUCACCAAGCCACCGUGCAUCAGGACCCGCGGAGCGAGGGCCCAGGUCACACAGCACCGGCCCAGCCCGGAGUCCUUGGGUUAGGGGUACCAGGAUUUCCUCAGACCACCUCUCCUGGACGUUCUCACACCUGGCUGGACCCGAGGAGAAUUCCAGAAGGCACGUGGCGCCUUCCACAGACUGAAAGCCCCAGUCUGUCUUCCAUUUCCUGUCCACCAGCUGUCUGGCUUUUUCUGAGCUUCACUCUGCCCUCCCCCUCCCAGCUAUCCCAGACUCAGUAACCCUGACUGGGUGACCUAAGGGGUGGCUAUCUGUUAGCUGUCCACUUCCAAGGUGCUUCUGUUUAGAGAGAGAGAGAGAGAGAGAAACAAAAAAUCACACCAGAGGUUGAGUUAGCAGUUUUGGUCCUGAGAAGGAGUAGGGCUUUUUCAACCUCUUCUCUGAGCCCAACAUCAGCCCUGGCUUAGCGGCAGGAGGUCCCUCAACACUUGCUCUAAAGCAGAUGAAGUCCAGAGAGGGGCAGCCAUCAACUCAGGGAACACAGCAUAGCAAGCCACUCUCUGAGCCACAGUAGGAGAAGCCUCUCUGUCCCUCUACCCUGAACCCCAAGGUGCUACCUUACACAGCCUCGCUCAGACCCGGACUCUGGCACUCACCAAGAUG